UACGGGGGGGGCAAGCGUUGUUCGGAAUUACUGGGCGUAAAGGGCUCGUAGGCGGCCAACUAAGUCAGACGUGAAAUCCCUAGGCUCAACCCAGGAACUGCGUCCGAUACUGGUUGGCUUGAAUCCGGGAGAGGGAUGCGGAAUUCCAGGUGUAGCGGUGAAAUGCGUAGAUAUCUGGAGGAACACCGGUGGCGAAGGCGGCAUCCUGGACCGGCAUUGACGCUGAGGCGCGAAAGCCAGGGGAGCAAACGGG
rnacentral:rRNA from 1 species